UCAUGAUGAGGAUGAUGAUGAUGAUGAUCAUCAUCAUCAUCUCAAUCA
rnacentral:miRNA from 1 species